rnacentral:pre_miRNA from 1 species
UCCUCGUAGUACCAAAGUGCUCAUAGUGCAGGUAGUUUUGGCUUUACUCUACUGUAGUGUGGGCACUUCCAGUACUCUUGGAC